GACGAACGCUGGCGUCGUGCUGAACACAUGCAAGUCGAACGAAGUGGCGAACGGGUGAGUAACGCGUAAUCAACCUGCCCUUCAGAGGGGGACAACAGUUGGAAACGACUGCUACUACCGCAUACUGAAGGAGGGGAUUGCGUCUGAUUAGCUAGUUGGAGGGGUAACGGCCCACCAAGGCGAUUAUCAGUAGCCGGGCUGAGAGGAUGAACGGCCACAUUGGGACUGAGACACGGCCCAGACUCAUACGGGAGGCAGCAGUGGGGAUUCUUCCGCAAUGGACGAAAGUCUGACGGAGCAACGCCGCGUUAGUGAUGACGGCCUUCGGGUUGUAAAGCUCUGUUAAUCGGGACGCGGUACCGGAAUAGAAAGCCACGGCUAACUACGUGCCAGCCGCCGCGGUAAUUC
rnacentral:rRNA from 1 species